rnacentral:rRNA from 1 species
UCCGUUUGAUCCUGCCGGAGGUUACUGCUAUCGAGGUUCGACUAAGCCAUGCGAGUCGAAUGUAGCAAUACAUGGCGUACUGCUCAGUAACACGCGGACAACCUACCCUUAGGUCGGGGAUAAACCCGGGAAACUGGGUAUAAUACCCGAUAGUCCUCGACUGCUGGAAUGCAUCGAGUGCUAAAGCUCCGGCGCCUAAGGAUGGGUCUGCGGCCUAUCAGGUAGUAGUGGGUGUAGCGUACCUACUAGCCUACGACGGGUACGGGUUGUGAGAGCAAGAGCCCGGAGAUGGAUUCUGAGACACGAAUCCAGGCCCUACGGGGUGCAGCAGGCGCGAAAACUUUACAAUGCUGGAAACAGCGAUAAGGGGACCUCGAGUGCCAGGUUACAAAUCUGGCUGUCGUGAUGCCUAAAAAGCAUUGCAUAGCAAGGGCCGGGCAAGACCGGUGCCAGCCGCCGCGGUAACACCGGCGGCUCGAGUGGUAACCGUUAUUAUUGGGUCUAAAGGGUCUGUAGCCGGCCGGAUAAGUCUCUUGGGAAAUCUGGCAGCUUAACUGUCAGGCUUUCAGGGGAUACUGUCUGGCUCGAGGCCGGGAGAGGUGAGAGGUACUUCAGGGGUAGGGGUGAAAUCUUGUAAUCCUUGAAGGACCACCAGUGGCGAAGGCGUCUCACCAGAACGGACCUGACGGCAAGGGACGAAAGCUAGGGGCACGAACCGGAUUAGAUACCCGGGUAGUCCUAGCCGUAAACGAUACUCGCUAGGUGUCGGCCACGGUGCGACCGUUGUCGGUGCCGUAGGGGAGCCGUGAAGCGAGCCACCUGGGAAGUACGGCCGCAAGGCUGAAACUUAAAGGAAUUGGCGGGGGAGCACCACAACGGGUGGAGCUUGCGGUUUAAUUGGAUUCAACGCCGGAAAUCUUACCGGGACCGACAGCAAUAUGAAGGCCAGGCUGAAGACUUUGCCGGAUUAGCUGAGAGGUGGUGCAUGGCCGUCGUCAGUUCGUACUGUGAAGCAUCCUGUUAAGUCAGGCAACGAGCGAGACCCA